UACGGAGGGUGCAAGCGUUAAUCGGAAUUACUGGGCGUAAAGCGUGCGUAGGCGGUUCGUUAAGUCUGUUGUGAAAGCCCCGGCUCAACCUGGGAAUGGCAAUGGAUACUGGCGAGCUAGAGUGUGUCAGAGGAUGGUGGAAUUCCCGGUGUAGCGGUGAAAUGCGUAGAGAUCGGGAGGAACAUCAGUGGCGAAGGCGGC
rnacentral:rRNA from 1 species